rnacentral:rRNA from 1 species
CCUACGGGAGGCAGCAGUGAGGGAUAUUGCACAAUGGGGGGAACCCUGAUGCAGCGACGCCGCGUGGGUGAAGAAGCGCCUCGGCGCGUAAAGCCCUGUCAGCAGGGAAGAAAAUGACGGUACCUGAAGAAGAAGCCCCGGCUAACUACGUGCCAGCAGCCGCGGUAAUACGUAGGGGGCAAGCGUUAUCCGGAUUUACUGGGUGGAAAGGGGGCGCAGACGGCGAUGCAAGCCAGGAGUGAAAGCCCGGGGCCCAACCCCGGGACUGCUCUUGGAACUGCGUGGCUGGAGUGCAGGAGGGGCAGGCGGAAUUCCUGGUGUAGCGGUGAAAUGCGUAGAUAUCAGGAGGAACACCGGUGGCGAAGGCGGCCUGCUGGACUGCAACUGACGUUGAGGCCCGAAAGCGUGGGGAGCAAACAGGAUUAGAUACCCUAGUAGUC